GACAAACUACCUGACGGUGGUCGGACACGCGUUCUAACAACCGGUAAAGCAUUUUCACGCAAGGCUGAGAGGUAACCGCGAACCUUUGUCCUCGUAUAUAUCUCUCCGUCGUCGCUAUAUCGACGUUUCAACGGAAAUGAGAAACGCCUCACGGUAUGUUGCCCGUUUUCCUCGCUUUACCGAGAAUUCGUAAUUACACGGCACACACGCCACUUACAAGCGUUCCUGGCCUGCACAUACCGGGUGUCAGGCGGCUGUACGUUGUGAAAAAAGAAGUCGCCGCGCCGUUACGAGAUUAGUCCUUAGACGGUGCGGGUCGUUUUUACUUUCGUGAGAUUCACAGGUGUCCCUCGAAGGAAGCCGUCUCGCUUAUUCGACUACUGUAAUUGUCAGCUGUCUGUUCCGCCGCUUAUUUCGCGUUCCAAUUCAACUGGUUUUCUUCGAACCGCUCCGUUUUUCCUCGCCAUUUUUCCGCGCUACACCGUGUACAGCGGGAAUUAAGUUUCAAACCUAUUUCUGGCAGAAUUCAGGUUCGCCUAUUUUCUUCGAUCGUUUACGGUCCUAAAGCUUUUCGCUCACGGGAAUAUCGCGGCAAGCAUCUGUGUUUUGUCUGCACGACACGAUUCUAUUAAAACGGGUUGCAACAAUCGAAAGAGCAUACGGAUGUAGGCAGUGUUUGAUAGAACGUUAAUUUCCUCGCUGCGUACGACGCCAAAUUCAAUUUCAGAUUGCACGUGGAGUCAUGACGUUUCUCGACAAUUUAUACAGCUCCGCCGAUUUAUUUAUCAAUUAAUUUUCUUCUCUUCCUCCGGUGCGAGGUGCUUUCUCACAUUUUUUAACAAAAAGAAAAAGAAAGGAAAAAGGACAGAGUAAGACUAAACGGUCCAUUGCCGUGAGACUCGUGCGUGUGCCCGUUCGCAAACGGUUCACCCUAUCAUUUAGUCGUAUAAUGUGCUGAUAACGUUAUAGUUAAUCUCAAUUACAUCAUCGUCCUUCUUGGAAAAGAUACACCGUGACAGAUCAGAGACAAAGUUAUCAACGUUCUACCUGUCAACGUGAAUCAUAUUGCUUAAUUAUUUUUUGUUGAGGUAAUCUGAUUGAGGAACGCGUGGUUGAAUCUGUAAAAGAAAUAUAUAUUGAAGUAAGUGUAGGUACAGGGUUAGUGUAUGCUGAUCCAGAUCCUUACUCUAGCAGUGUUACAUUACAAUAGGAGUUAUUAGGGAGCACGUUGAUACAUUUAUAACAAAGGACAUUAUCAAAAAAUUAACCUUGGUGUGUAACUCUAGAUGAAAGUUACAAGAAACAGCAAUAAAAAUCUACUUAUAACUCUUUUGUUUCUAGACCUUGUAAUCCAAAACAACAUUCAUAUUCAAGGAUGCAAUAAUAUGGUCCUCUACUUUUUUAAAUAUUUUGCUUCACUAAAUUCUAUUUUUUCCGUAACGGCGAUGUCCAGAUCACGGGUAUACGAAAGAAAAAGAUGUAAAGUUUUGCUAGAAGUAAUUACUUCAACAGUUUCAUACGGCGACGAUGUCGACCAUUAUAAUCCGCAAGAAUCUUUUCUUUCGCGAUUCGAUAACAAACAAAUAAAUUUCAUUCAACAGACACUUGUUGCUCUUGUCACAACUCGUGGUGCACCAUAAAGAGGAGAAAUAUUUCGUGUAACCUCCUGUAAGAGUCACGACAUUUUAAAAACUUUUAUUUUAGUCCGUCUCGAAAUUUCCACCUUGACAGUUCGUAACUAAUCGGCAUCAAAGGAAGUCGCACGGUACACGUUGAAGUUCAGUUGGCCCAAUUGGCCCAAGUUACUCCGUGCUUUCGCAGUUGAUAUCAAAGAGACCGCAUAAGUCAAUAGUUCAUUUUUCUAUAAGUGAUAUAAUUAAAUUCCUUUCAAACAGAGAGCUCCUAGUCUCUGCAUUUGGAGGUUAUGCGAACUUUACGAAGCCGAACACAGGCCGUUACUGAACUAAUGAUACACGCUAGCAGGUACUGAUUCUACGCGAAAAAAUAAGUCGAAAGUGCGGAAUAAGCCAUUUUCACAAUACGCAUUGUUUCCAACAAAAGUGAAUUAAGACUUUGUUAGAGGUGUACUAAAAAUGAUGCCCAGAAUGAAAAAAUUUUAUUUCACUUAUUUAUUCCAUUGAUUGUUUACUCACACCUUGUCGAUAAUUAGCCAAAUUCAAGUAUACUUGACAAAUUUUCGAACUCGAUCUUUUUGGAACCAAAUCCUCGGAUAAAAGAAUGUCACCCUACUUUAUCGACUUAUUUUUUCAUGAAGAUCCGCCUUCUUUCGGUUUGUUCCAUCAGUUCGAUGACACCUGUAUAUUCGUUACCGAACGGUCGAAACAACGAAAUCUAAAAUCAAUCGCAAUACUGUUCCCUUCGUUCGUCGCAGAAAAUGAGCUUAUCUUUCUCGGUACAUCGGUUUCCCAUCGAUUUUCAACUAAUUACGUCGAUUAAAGGCGCAUCGCGGAUUUAGGAGAUCUGGGCUGGAUUAGUGGAGGAAAGGCAACGAGUUAACGUAACGGAUGAAACUGCGGACAAGAAAAUCCGAGAAUUGAUCGGUUACCAACAAAUUUUCAGACCGCCGCUUUCUUGCUGGAAAGUUUGCAACGUUUCUUAAUCUACCGUGGCGAGAUAAUGACUGAUCGAAGAAAGGAGUCGCAGCUAAAAGCUCGAAUAUUUUCCAAGGUUAACUUCCGCCACAGCUUGUAUUCGACACACUCCUUUUUAUGGCUGAACUGAAGUGAAUUGCUUCGACAUAAAUCAAGGAAAUGAAUAGAGGUUUAUGUUUACUCCAAUUUAUUUGCUAGAUGUAGGGAAAUAUAUUUAGAAUUAUCGAUUAAUGGCCAAUUAUGUCCAACAAGUCCUUCAGCGUAUACUGUUUCAGAAUGUUGUUCAUCACAUUUGUAGCAACCUUACUCACGUAUUGCGAUAUUCUAU